rnacentral:rRNA from 1 species
GACGAACGCUGGCGGCGUGCUUAACACAUGCAAGUCGAGCGGAAAGGCCCUUCGGGGUACUCGAGCGGCGAACGGGUGAGUAACACGUGAGUAAUCUGCCCUUCACACUGGGAUAGCCACCGGAAACGGUGAUUAAUACCGGAUACGACCACUCCCUGCAUGGGGUGUUGGUGGAAACUUUUUUGGGUGGGGGAUGUGCUCGCGGCCUAUCAGCUUGUUGGUGGGGUAAUGGCCUACCAAGGCUUCGACGGGUAGCCGGCCUGAGCGGGUGACCGGCCACACUGGGACUGAUACACGGCCCAGACUCCUACGGGAGGCAGCAGUGGGGAAUAUUGGACAAUGGGCGGGAGCCUGAUCCAGCAACGCCGCUUGAGGGAUGACGGCCGUCGGGUUGUAAACCUCUUUCAGCACCGACGAAGCGCAAGUGACGGUAGGUGCAGAAGAAGGACCGGCCAACUACGUGCCAGCCGCCGCAGUAAAAC